rnacentral:tRNA from 1 species
GCGGAUGUAGCUCAAUGGCAGAGCCACAGCCUUCCAAGCUGAGGACGGGGGUUCGAUUCCCCUCAUCCGCUCCA